UCCAAUGUACAUCCAGGACUGAAAACUGCUGUGUAGCCUCUGGAAUCUUCCCUCUUGAUGGAAGGUAGCAUUUACGGCAGGACAUGGGCCAGUUUUUUGAAGUGUUCGCGUUUCCUCAGGGAUUGGUGAUGAACACAGAACUGAAUAGCAUAUGAUAAAAGAAGGAAUGCCAUUUCUUAGAUUAUCAUAACAAAGACUGUGGCUUCUGUCUUGGGUGUUCGUUCUUUAAUUUGAGUGAAGCCAGGCACCAUUUGUGAGUGACCCUAAUGAGAGGCCCACUUCAGGAGAAAUUGAUGUCUCUGGCUAGUAGCAGUGUGGAUCUGAACCCUGCUGAUAGAUAUGCUGGUGAGCCUGAAAGUGGAUCGUUUUCCAGCAAAGCCUGGAGAUGACUGCAGCCCUGGAUCACCAUUGUUUAACUUUUAAGAGACCCUGAGUCGAGCCUAAAUUCCCAACUUGCAGAAAUGAGAGGACCUGACUGUGUACGCUACUGGAUCAGAAGCAGAUGCUGGGUCAUCUGAAGUGCAGUGCAGGAAGAAUGAAUGAAACUCGCCGCAGUGCCUGACCAUGCACUAAAGACUAUGAGAUAGCCAUCACUGUAAUUAUUGUAAAGCCUUCCCUCCCAUUUCUUACAAUAGUAGUUGAUUAAAGGA